ACGAGAGGACCGGGAUGGACGUACCUCUGGUGUACCAGUUGUCCUGCCAAGGGCAUGGCUGGGUAGCUAUGUACGGAAUGGAUAAGCGCUGAAAGCAUCUAAGCGCGAAGCCAACUUCAAGAUAAGAGUUCCCACCGCAAGGGUAAGACCCCAGAAAGACUAUCUGGUUGAUAGGUCGAAGGUGUAAGUGCAGCAAUGUAUUUAGCUUAUCGAUACUAAUAGGUCGAGGACUUGACCAAU
rnacentral:rRNA from 1 species